UUCAAGUUCACCAAUUCCAGGGUUACUGUUCCUUAAAGUAGUGGUCCAGUGCCAACACCAGACUUGAGAACGGAAACAGCAGUUGAGGAAGCUUUAUCAACAGAAUAAGCAGUGCUUGUAAAGUCUCCUUUUGAACUCACUCCUACAGUUGCUCACCAAUUACUUAAGGGCUAGAGCACAAGAACGACACUUUCAACAAAUCAUUCUUUACUGGAUCGAGAUACCUGCUUGCUUUUGAUAACUUGGAUGAGGCUCCUCUCUUUUUUCUCUUUACCAACUAACCUA
rnacentral:lncRNA from 1 species